GUGGGGAAUAUUGGGCAAUGGGCGCAAGCCUGACCCAGCAACGCCGCGUGAAGGAAGAAGGCUUUCGGGCUGUAAACUUCUUUUGUCAGGGACGAAGCAAGUGACGGUACCUGACGAAUAAGCCACGGCUAACUACGUGCCAGCAGCCGCGGUAAUACGUAGGUGGCAAGCGUUAUCCGGAUUUACUGGGUGUAAAGGGCGUGUAGGCGGGAAAGCAAGUCAGAUGUGAAAACUGUGGGAUCAACCCAUAGCUUGCAUUUGAAACUGUUUUUCUUGAGUACUGGAGAGGCAGAUGGAAUUCCUAGUGUAGCGGUGAAAUGCGUAGAUAUUAGGAGGAACACCAGUGGCGAAGGCGAUCUGCUGGACAGCAACUGACGCUGAGGCGCGAAAGCGUGGGGAGCAAACAGGAUUAGAAACCCCGGUAGUCC
rnacentral:rRNA from 1 species